UAUUGAAGAAGCAGAGAGAGAGAAUCCACUGUUAAAAAAGGUUCUGAAUAAACUGCUUGCAAGAAGAGCUCCUGUGUUGCGUCAUCCUUGCUAGUCGAGGCUGUCAAGAUGAGUGGUGGCCCGGACGGGGAGCCUCCAUGGGUGAACGGCUCAGAACUUCCUGCAGUCAGAACAAGAUGAUUAUUGAAGAAUAGAAAAAGUAAAACUGCUGCCUUAGAGGUUGAGCAGUCAGAGAUGCAUUAUGACUGAGAGUAAGAAUAAAUGGAUGGACAUCAGAAAGUGGGAGAGCAUGGGUAUGGGUCAAUGAAGCUGGGGUGCCAAGAAAUGACAGGGCAAGUUACUAGAUUAUCUCAUCAGUGCCUUGGUUAAAUCUACUGAUAAUGUUAUAUGAGUUAGGAAGUUGUAAUCAAUAAGAAGCAUGCAGGUAAAGUAUGGACUAGAAUAAUAACUCUUAAGAAAACUUGCUGCUCUUGCAGAGAACCCAGGUUUGUUUUGCAACACCCAUAUGGUGGCUGACAACCACCUGUACCUCAAAUUGAAGGAGCUAACACCUUCUUCUGGAUUCUAUAAGCACUGUGCUCAAUGGUGCAGAUUCACAUAUGCAGGAAACACUAAUAAACAUAGUAUAAGAAUAAAUGCUAAUGAAAUGUGAUGGGGUGGUUUCAAGGUCCUACACCUAGAAAAAGAACUAUGGGCAAUCAAUGUUUUCUCUGGGGAGAAGCUUCUAGAUAGGUUAGCCAAUCCCAAAUGGUCAGUCUUAAACACAUGGGUAAGAGAAAUACUAAAUGGUCUUAGUGGUAUCACAUCUAUCUAUCUAUCUAUCCAUCUAUCUAUCUAUCUAUCUAUCUAUGCAUGUAUCUAUCCAUUUAUUUGUGUAUCUAUGUAUCUAUGAUCUAGCAUCUAUGCAUCUAUCAUCUAUCUAUGUAUAUAUCUAUCUAUCAAUUAUCUAUCAUCUGUCAUCUAUCUGUUUUUCUACCUAUGUAUAUACAUAUAACAGUAGUAACUAUAGAGAAAAGGUUAUGAAUUUUAGAGAAUAAAGGACAGAUGGGAGUUGGAGUGGGGAGAAGGAAGGAAAUUAUCUAGACCAUAGCAGUUGUAUGAAAUUCACAAAAAUAAAGAGACAAGCAAAUAUCAGCAACAAAACAGAGGUCUGGAGAGAUGACUAGGGAGUUGAAGAACACUUGUUGCUUUCACAGAAGACCAAGGUUCAGUUACGAAUAUGGAAGCAAGUGAUAAUCUCCAACCUAUGAUUUCAGGUGUGACUGUCAUCUUGGAAUCAUACCUUUUUCGUAGAGCAUACAACACUAUAAAAUAAUUAAAUGAGUGGUGUUUACAUCAAUAUGGAGCUGAAAACUAGAAUAACAAUAACAAAACAUGCUUUUAAGCCUCUUAUUUAAUACUAUUUUCACCAAUGGUUUGUACAUGUCUUAGUAUACUAUUACUAAUAUGUGCCCCGUUUUCUAAUGCCAACAGAUGGUACAUUUCAAUUUGUGCUUGGUAAAGAAAAGAUGCUUCUUAAGUUAAGGGGCAGUUGUGUUUUCUAGAAAACACAUUUUGGAUUGGAUAUUGAAACAAUGAUCAUAUUUAGUUUAAAUUUACUUUUCAAUAUUAGCAUAAACUGUGGGGUUAAUUACCUUCCUGAAACAGUAUAUGAGACAUGAUGUAAUAAUAAAGUGCUAGAACAUUUGAAAUACAGACCACUUAUCCUCAAAUAAUCUUUUAAAGCCUAGAAAUCAGCCUAUAUUUCCCUAUCCAGGGCUCCUUCACUAUUGCCUUCUGUAAAUCUCAGCAUCUAAGGAGUCAGAAAGAUUGAUAGAGUAUGCAAAUUUUUUGCUUUCUUCCUGUUUGACUACAACUUUAAAAAAAAACUGGAAGAAGCUCAGUGUAAAUAAUAACAAUGCUUUUGGCCUGUAGAUCUAUUGAGGACUGUGAAUCUGUCUCCAAGAGUAGGCAAAGGAUGAAAGAGUGAUAUAGAGGGCAGGCACUUGGCCGAAUCUCAUCUCUUGCAUGUUAGACAGGUGAGUUGUCAUCACUGUUUUUGGUAGAGCUUGAUGUGACAGUUCAUAUUUUCACUAAAGGUGCCUACAAUGUAGUGCAAAUUAAAGGGGGGGCAAGAAAUAUUUUUUCCUGACUUCCACCACAUGUGCAAUGAUAUGCUAUGUUAUUAGGUAGGUAACUAGAAAUUACUUAUAUAAAUAUGAAACUAUGUGUAUAAUUAAUGUUAUAUCUUGCUUUGUGUGCUAGCUCUGCCUCAGUAUUGUUGGCCACUACAUCCAUAGGGCCACCUUACUUAGUGAUACACACACACACUCACACACACACACACACACACACACACACACACA